AUGGCGCAGAAAGUUUGCGGCCCGCAGGUUCAGAAGAACCUCUUCCAGGCGUGGGGAAUCGAGAAGCCGCCGCGGGAAGAGGCGGCGCAGGGGGCCCCUGUUGGGGCUCGGGCCUCCUCCUCCUCUCCUUCUCCUUCUCCUUCUGGUGCUUGGCCCGGUAGGAAGCGGCGCUGGGGAGGCUCGGACGAGAACGGGGCGUCCAGGAAGCCCGUCGCUUGCCCCUUCUACAAGAAGAUUCCCGGUACGCCGUUCACGGUGGACGCAUUUCGGUAUGGAGCAGUUGAGGGGUGCUCUGCUUAUUUUCUCAGCCAUUUCCAUUGUGAUCAUUACGGUGGGUUAACCAAGAAGUGGUGUCGUGGUCCUAUCUAUUGUACUGCACUCACUGCACGCCUGGUGAAGAUGUUACUAUCAAUUGACUCUGCGUAUGUUUGUCCCUUGGAGCUUGAUACUGAGUAUGUCAUCGACGGAGUGAAGGUUACCUUCUUGGAGGCCAAUCAUUGCCCUGGUGCAGCCCUAAUUCACUUUCGUCUUAGUGAUGGCAAGACCUAUCUCCACACUGGGGAUUUUAGAGCAUCAAAAUCAAUGCAAUUGCACCCACUCCUCCAAACUGGCCGCAUAAGUUUGCUUUAUCUGGAUACAACAUAUUGCAAUCCAAAAUACAAAUUUCCACCACAGGAGGAUGUUAUUGAUUUUGUUGUCAGGACAGCUCAAAGGUAUCUAAAGAAGCAACCAAAAACACUUAUUGUUGUUGGGGCAUAUAGCAUCGGGAAAGAGAAUGUCUAUCUAGCAAUUUCUCAAGCUUUAGAGGUCCCUAUAUACACUGAUGCAUCACGAAGGCGGAUUCUUCACUCAUUUGGCUGGCCAGACUUGUCCAAAAGGAUAAGUUCAUGCAAUCAAAGUUCACCACUUCAUGUUCUGCCCCUUGCAUCACUGCAACAUGAGAACUUGAAGAAGUACUUGGAGACUCUUGACCAAAGAUUUCUAGCUGUGCUGGCUUUUCGACCUACAGGUUGGACUUUUUCUGAGGCAGCUGGAAAGGAGCUUGACUUAAUUAAACCUAGCUCUAGAGGCAGAGUUACAAUCUAUGGUGUACCUUAUAGCGAGCACUCAAGUUUCAGCGAGCUUAGGGACUUUUUGAAGGUAAAUCCCCAAACUGUCGUUACAUUGUUAGUCUUUGCUGCGAUGUUUUCUAACUAUAGGAUAAUAUUUUUCUGGUUAGUUUCUGAGACCUCAAAAGGUAAUUCCCACUGUUAA
rnacentral:rRNA from 1 species